CGGCGAGGUAGAUUAGAUGGAUCGAAAACGAGGUCUCUAUUGGAUUCAUCGACCGAGGGCACGCUUUGGGCGCUGUUGUUCAAAGCAGUACCGGCCGA
rnacentral:tRNA from 1 species